UGGGGAAUAUUGCACAAUGGGCGCAAGCCUGAUGCAGCCAUGCCGCGUGUGUGAAGAAGGCCUUCGGGUUGUAAAGCACUUUCAGCGAGGAGGAAGGUGGUGGACUUAAUACGUUCAUCAAUUGACGUUACUCGCAGAAGAAGCACCGGCUAACUCCGUGCCAGCAGCCGCGGUAAUACGGAGGGUGCAAGCGUUAAUCGGAAUUACUGGGCGUAAAGCGCACGCAGGCGGUUUGUUAAGUCAGAUGUGAAAUCCCCGGGCUCAACCUGGGAACUGCAUUUGAAACUGGCAAGCUAGAGUCUCGUAGAGGGGGGUAGAAUUCCAGGUGUAGCGGUGAAAUGCGUAGAGAUCUGGAGGAAUACCGGUGGCGAAGGCGGCCCCCUGGACGAAGACUGACGCUCAGGUGCGAAAGCGUGGGGAGCAAAACAGGAUUAGAUACCCUGGUAGUCCACGCUGUAAACGAUGUCGAUUUUGGAGGUUGUGCCCUUGAGGCGUGGCUUCCGGAGCUAACGCGUUAAAUCGACCGCCUGGGGAGUACGGCCGCAAGGUUAAAACUCAAAUGAAUUG
rnacentral:rRNA from 1 species